rnacentral:RNase_P_RNA from 2 species
CCUGGAAGUCGGAUGGCCGCUGGCAAAGAUUUAAUCAUUGCUGGAGGAAAGUCCGGGCUCCACGAAAACAAGGUGCCGGGUAAUACCCGGCGAGGGUAACCUUAGGGAAAGUGCCACAGAAAAUAUACCGCCGAUGGUUUUCAUCGGUAAGGGUGAAAUGGUGCGGUAAGAGCGCACCGCGCGCCUGGUAACAGGCGUGGCAGGGUAAACCCCACCUGGAGCAAGACCAAAUAGGAAUGACACUCUGACUUUUGUCAGAAAAUGAGUUUUCGCAUUGUUGUUCGGGUAGGUCGCGUGAAGGCACUGGUAACAGUGCUUCCAGAGGAAUGGUCAUCCCUGAUUCUAUCAGGACAGAACCCGGCUUAUAGACUUCCAGGUCUU